GGAUCUUUGGCGAUGUGGUCAGUGCACAUGACUCUUACCCAAGUGUCUGGGGUUCAAUUCCCUGCCUGGGUCCU